rnacentral:rRNA from 1 species
AACGAACGCUGGCGGCAGGCCUAACACAUGCAAGUCGAACGCCGUAGCAAUACGGAGUGGCAGACGGGUGAGUAACACGUGGGAACAUGCCCUUUGGUUCGGAAUAACUCAGGGAAACUUGAGCUAAUACCGGAUAAGCCCGAGAGGGGAAAGAUGUAUCGCCGAAGGAUUGGCCCGCGUCCGAUUAGCUAGUUGGUGAGGUAAUGGCUCACCAAGGCGACGAUCGGUAGCUGGUCUGAGAGGAUGAUCAGCCACACUGGGACUGAGACACGGCCCAGACUCCUACGGGAGGCAGCAGUGGGGAAUAUUGGACAAUGGGCGCAAGCCUGAUCCGGCCAUGCCGCGUGAGUGAUGAAGGCCCUAGGGUUGUAAAGCUCUUUCGCCAGGGACGAUAAUGACGGUACCUGGAUAAGAAGCCCCGGCUAACUUCGUGCCAGCAGCCGCGGUAAGAC